UGGGGAAUAUUGCACAAUGGGCGCAAGCCUGAUGCAGCCAUGCCGCGUGUAUGAAGAAGGCUUUCGGGUUGUAAAGUACUUUCAGCGGGGAGGAAGGGAGUAAAGUUAAUACCUUUGCUCAUUGACGUUACCCGCAGAAGAAGCACCGGCUAACUCAGUGCCAGCAGCCGCGGUAAUACGGAGGGUGCAAGCGUUAAUCGGAAUUACUGGGCGUAAAGCGCACGCAGGCGGUUUGUUAAGUCAGAUGUGAAAUCCUCGGGCUCAACCUGGGACCUGCAUCUGAUACUGGCAAGCUUGAGUCUCGUAGAGGGGGGUAGAAUUCCAGGUGUAUCGGUUAAAUGCGUAGAGAUCUGGAGGAAUACCUGUGGCGAAGGCUGCCCCCUGGACGAAGACUGACGCUCAGGUGCGAAAGCGUGGGGAGCAAACAGG
rnacentral:rRNA from 1 species